rnacentral:rRNA from 1 species
GAUGAACGCUGGCGGCGUGCUUAACACAUGCAAGUCGAACGAAGCACUUUAUUUGAUUUCCUUCGGGACUGAUUAUUUUGUGACUGAGUGGCGGACGGGUGAGUAACGCGUGGGUAACCUGCCUUGUACAGGGGGAUAACAGUUGGAAACGGCUGCUAAUACCGCAUAAGCGCACGGCAUCGCAUGAUGCAGUGUGAAAAACUCCGGUGGUAUAAGAUGGACCCGCGUUGGAUUAGCUAGUUGGUGAGGUAACGGCCCACCAAGGCGACGAUCCAUAGCCGACCUGAGAGGGUGACCGGCCACAUUGGGACUGAGACACGGCCCAAAACUCCUACGGGAGGCAGCAGUGGGGAAUAUUGCACAAUGGGCGAAAGCCUGAUGCAGCGACGCCGCGUGAGCGAAGAAGUAUUUCGGUAUGUAAAGCUCUAUCAGCAGGGAAGAUAAUGACGGUACCUGACUAAGAGCACCGGCUAAAUACGUGCCAG